rnacentral:lncRNA from 1 species
GAGCUGUUAGUACUGCUUUCAUCUGUUUUACAGCCACAGCGACAGCAGUUCCCUGGCUUCUGGAAGGAGUGUCGGUCUAUCCAAAAAAUGUACUAACAGAUAUGUAAACCCUGAUGAAUACAGUAUGUGUUAUGAGAAGUGGCCCAACGAAGCAGCUCAUCCAAGUGAGAUUCUGAAGUUGGGCUGGCGAGUACACGAAUGGCUUUCUUACUAGAGAGAAGUGGGACCCUGCUAAUCUGUAGCAUGUGGUGGCAUCAUGGUUACUCAAAUAUCACUGGAACAGAAGUUCUCUCUCCUGCUGCCAUGUGAAGGACAUGUUUGCUUCCCCUCGAGCCAUGAUUGUUAAGUUUCCUGAGGCCUCCUCAGCCAUGUGGAACUGUGAGUCAAUUAAACCUCUUUCCUUUAUGAAUUACCCAGUCUUGGGUAUUUCUGCACAGCAGCAUAAGAACGGACUAAAACAGCUCCCAAGCAAAAGCAUUCAAUUCCAUGAAGAUACGGGAUUUACACUCAUUAAAGGAUAAUGUCCUUUGGAUCAUCAUUAACUACUUAUGAAGCUCACGGGGGUGGAGUAACCUGGAGGUUUCAUAUUUGUGCAACAAAUAAAUCCCAAGGCUGUGUACUUAUUUGCUUUUGGGAGACUCAUCUAAUAACAUAUUGUAUCUGCUUGUUGUAUUAAUAAUCUGAGUUAUUACAAGUACACCAACCAAUCUGCUGCCUUAAGAAUGGAUUCAUGUUGGUUAAGUCCUUUAAAAUCCAGAACUGUGGCACCAGAGACAUCAGAGGUCUGGGGAAACACUUUGAGCUAAGCAAUAAGCUCUACAGUUAAGAAAAAGAUGCUGAUAAAUUCUACAAAGAACAUCAGACAUGACAUUUGUUGCUUUAGAAUCUUUGAGCAUAUUUACAGGCAAGGCAGAAGAAAGAGCAUUUCAGCUUGGUUUUAAAAUACAGAAAUACCACUAUUCCUUAAAAGAACGAAUCACAAUGCUGUUGGCACAUAUUGGAGCCCACAAAAAUCAUAAGAAAUGUGCGAUUUUUUCUGCAAAUAUGUUUCCUGAUUAAAAACACAAAGCAUAUAUUUGACUCGUACAGGAAGUCAAGCCAAAAGAAAAAAUAGUAUUUAUAAGACAAAGUUAAAAUCCUGAGCUUGUGUACAUAUUAACUUACUCAAGAAUCAUCUAAUAACAUAUUGUAUCUGCUUGUUGCAUUUAUGUUAGUAGUGACUGUCUCUCAUGGGAAGAUUCUGUGUGCAGAAACAGAAACAGAAAUGUCAAGCAGACUUCUUUCUUGAUUGUGUCAUUGCCCUAGACAUUAGGAAUGAGAUAUGUAUGAGAAAAGAAUUAGGUGGUGGGGUCAAAGCAGAAUUUUCAGUACCUACUGCAGAGCACAGCCCAUGACAGAUGGUCAACAAAUAAUUUUUGAAUGUUGUAAGGAGGAAGAAACAGCUAAGAACAAUUUACUUAAAUUUUUGAAGACUAUUUCACUUGUGGGAAAUUUCAUAAGUCACCUUAAGAGGGUGCCAACGAAUAGGCUUCUGCCAAAAGGAAAAACAAAAUCCCCAAAAUGAGUAUGCAAAUAAUGUUGGUGUGACUGAUAUUACUUGGCUUCAAAGAAGCAAUAGCCACAAAAAGCAAGGGUAAGGAAAUAUGAAACAUUUCAUAAGUGAGGAAACCAGAUAAGAAUUAUAUAAAAGAGCUUAUUUUAAAAAUAAACUACUAGUGAGUGGGAGAAGGGAGUAUUAGUUGUUUUGAAAGACAAAAGGAAACUGUAAGACCAAGUCAGUUUUGCAGGCCCUCUAACAAACAGGUCUUUACCUCAAGGCACAACAAUCACUCAGACAUGUGGCACUCUCAUAGAAUCACUCCGGCCCAGAAGACCAAGAAUUCCUGAAAGAACCAAGCUAUGUAAAUCUGAGCUUGAAAGUGGCCUGAUUGAAGCCCAUGGAGCCCUCACCUACCACAGCACCCGGCUGGCAGUAGAUGUUCGAAGUGUGUUUGCUAACCAACUGGAUAAAUUAAUAAACAAGAGGAUGAGUCUUUUGAGUUACUUGGAAGUAACCUGAAAAUUUUUUUUACAAGAAGCCAUUGGCAUACUAAUGUUUUGUUUUUGUUUUUGAGAGAGUCUUGCUCUGUCACCCACCCUGGAGUGCAGUGGCGCGAUCUCAGCUCACUGCAACCUCUGUCUCCCAGGUUCAAGCAAUUCUGCCUCAGCCUCCCAGUAGCUGGGAUUACAGGCACUUGGCAUACUAAUGUUUUAAUAAUUAAAAAUAUUUUUAAUUUCUAAAGCAAAUACCAGUUUGUUACAAAAAUUUAACACUACUCAAAGGAAACCACUGUUACUUUGGUGUAUGAGUCCUUCCCAAGACUUUUUCUAUAUAUACACAAUUGUUUCAAUAUGUGUGUAUGUGCAUGUAUUUACUAUAUAUGUGCACAUAGAUAUACACAUAUAUUCACACCUAUAAUUGCUUGACAAAGACUGGAUCACACUAUGCAAUCUUUUAUGUAACUUGCUUAAUAACAUUUGUAAUUGAACAAAAAAAUUUGCCAUAACAAUCUUUCCUUUUCUUUUUUAAUAUGUAUACAGUUUUAGGCAAAGGGCUUUUUCAAUGCCUCUAGAAAUAAUUUUUUUUCAAAUAUUGUUUUGUAGAUUUGUAAAAUUAUAUCCCAAGUAUAUGGAGUUGAAAAUGAAAGUUCUCCUUCCACCUGACUACCUCAUAACUCCACAUUCCCCCCUUCCCAAGAUACUCAUAGUAAAGAGUUGGAGCUCCAUCCUUCUGGACUUUUUAGUGCAAACACCCAAACCAUACACACACACACGUGUGCAUGUGUGUAUAUGUACAUACGUACACAUACACAUAUAUUUCGAAAGUACCUUGUUCAUAAUGUUAGAGAAUAUUUAAUUUUGUAUUUAUGAGUUUAUGAGUUGAAAGUAUAUUUAAACUCAUUAUUUACAAGUUUAUUUAUUUCGAGAUUUCUCUAUGCUAAUAUGCUGGUCCACUUAGUAGCUAAUUGAACAGCACAGUGGCUAAAACACAGAUUUGGAGCCAGACUAUUGGGGUUCAAAUCCCAGCUCUGCUAUGACACCUUGGCCCAGUUUGCAAUCUUCCUGUACCUGUUUGCCCUGUAAAAGGGAUAUCACAGGUUGGACCAUACGCAUAUGACUUGUAUGAUUCAACUUAAUGAUAGUACCUAUCUUACAGUACUAAGAAAAGUAAAAUAGCUCAACUUCCAAACUAGAUCUCUUUAUCCCCAGGACUACUGGUUCUUCCAUUGCACGCCAUGGCUUAUUACACAAAAGCAGAGAUAACACAGCAAUAAAGCCUGAAUGCACUCUGUACUACCCGUUAUGGCUAAAGCUUAACCCAGCAAUAUGGGAAGAACCAUUGGGUUACCGGCCUACCUACAGUUCCUGUCUCAAAAUACCCUGGUGAUUAAAGUAAGACCUUUUAGUUAAUUUUAUGUGUCAACUUGGUUAGGUUAUGGAGCCCAUUUGUUUGGUCAAAUACUAGCCUAGCUGUUGCUGUAAAGGCAUUUUUUAAAGAUAUGAUUAAUAUUUAAAUCAGUACACUCUGAGUUGAGCAGAUUACCCUCCAUAGUGUGGGUGGGCCUCAUCCAAUUAGUUGAAGGCCUUAAGAGCAACAAAGUAGAAGGUAUUCUCCCUAAGACUGCAAUAAAGAAUCCCUGCCUAAGUUUCCAGCCUGGUGCCCCGCAGAAUUCAGACUCAACACUGCAACUUCAACUCUAACCUCAACGUCCAGGCCGCCAGUCUGCCCCAGUUCUGAACGCGCCAGCCUUUGCAAUUGUGUGAGCCAAUUUCUUAAAAUCAGUCAUUCUCUCUCUUUCAAUGUGAGAAAUUUUGCUAUCAGGAAGUGGGAUGCUGCUGUGACAAAUACCUAAAAAUGUGGAAGUGGCUUUGACAUGAAGUAAUGAAUAGAGGCUGGAAGAAUUUUGAGGUGAGUGAUAGAAAAGAGAUUAUUGGGAGAAAUAAAGAAGAAUCUAGUGAGGGCUCACAAAAGAAAGGCAGGAGCUAUAAAGUUUCUAAUGUCUUAGAAAAUACAUUGUCAGGAACAGAAUGUUGCUAGAAAUAAAAAUGUUAAAGAUGCUUCUGGUGAGGUCUCAGACUGCAAAUGAGGAAUGUAUUAUUGGAAACUGGAAGAAAGGUGAUCCUUGUUAUAAAGUAGCAAAGGACUUGAGUGAAUUGUGUUCUGUUGGAUGGAAAGCAGAAUUUGUAAGUGAUAACUUGGAUAUUUGGCUGAGGAGAUUUCUAAGCAAAGUGUUGAAGGCACAGCUUGGUUUCUUCUUGCUGCUUAUAGAUGUGAGUAAAAUACAAGAGGAGAGAGAUGAAUUGAGCACAUUAUUAUUAAGCAUAAGGAACCAGAACUUGAAGAUUUGGAGAAUUCUCAGCCUAUUCAUAUUGUAAAACAUGAAAGAGAACACCAACAGUGUGGCUGGACAAUGGUUUGCAAACAGAUUAGGUAUGUGACUUCUGGAUCAUCAACUAUUUCAGCAAAAAUACUGCUAGCUUGUACUGAACAGGACAGAAAUGGGAUGAGAUGAAGAAAUGCUGUCAGACUUCUGGGAUUUUAGGCAGGAUGGCCAAAAGAACUACCUAGAUGCAAACAUAUGUUAUACUUAAAGAGAAGAAAAAGCCCAAGGGUAGGGCAACCUUCUCAAUUCCAGGGGCAGGGCAACCUCUUUGGUUCAUCCAGGACUAAGGGGGUGUGAUUGCCACCCCACUGGGCCCAGAGAACAGAGUGUGGAGCCAAAGAGGAUUAUUCUUAAGCCUUAAAAUCUAAUGGAAUUUCACCUUCUAGAUUUUAGACUUGAGACCUGUGACCCCUUUUUUUCCUUCUAGCAUUCUCACUUGUGGAAUAGGAAUGUCUAUCCUAUUCCUGUCCCAACAUUACAUGCUAGAAGCAGAUAAAUUGUUAUCUGGUUUCAUAGGUUCAUAGCUGGAGAGUUUUGCCCCAGGAUGAAUUAUGUCCUGACCCAUACCUGAUUUAGAUAUUUAAGAUGAGAUUUUGAACUUAAGGGUUGAUGCUGAAAUAGAUUUAGGACUUUCUGGGCAUGGGAUGGGGUGAAUUCAUUCUGCAUGUGAGGACAUGAGUUUUGGGGGAUGUGGUAUUGUGAAAUAUAUAUUUAGUCUUAGACCCUGUUUCCUGACAUAUGGCUCCUAAAACUCUGAAAUCUCCUAAGUGAUUAGAGUAUCAUUCAUAUGCUAAUGAGACAACUGGUGGCUUGGGAAUCCCUGGGUAGCUUCAGGAUGUGUGCUGGUCACCAGAAAGACCAAGACACAAUUAGAGGGUUGGGACUUUUAGCCCCAUCCUUGACCUUUGGGGAGGGGAGGGGGGCUGAAAGUUGUGCCAAUCACCAAUCAUCAAUGGUUUAAUUAAUCAUGUCUAUGUAAUGAAGCCUCCAUAAAAGCCCAAAGGACUGGGUUUGGAGAGCUCUGGGAUAGCUGGAAGAUGGCAUGCCCAGAGAAGGCAUGAAAAUUCCAUAUUUAUUCCCACAAGCCUUGCUUUAUACGUCUCUUCUAUCUGGCUGUUCACCUGUAUCUUUUAUAAUAAACCAGUGAACUCAAGUGCUAUGGUUUGAAUGUCCCCUCCAAAGUUUAUGUUGACAUUUAAUUGCCAAUAUGACAAUAUUAGAAGGUAAGGCCUUUAAGAGGUGAUUAGGUCAUGAGAGCUCUGCCCUCAUGAGUGCCAUUAUCACAGGAGUGGGUUAGUUAUCGUGGGAGGGGGUUCCUGAUGAAAAGGACAAGUUUGGUCUGAUUUUCUUUGUCUCUUGUGCCUGCUGCCCUUCUGACAUGUUAUGAUGCAGCAAGAUGGCCCUCACCAGACGUGGCCACUCGAUCUUGGACUUCCCAGGCUCCAAAAGCAUGAGCCAAAUAAACCUCUUUUCUUUAUAAAUUACCCAAUCUCAAUUACUCUGUCAUAGCAGAAUAAAACAGAUAAAACAGUUACGUGUUUCCAUGAGCUCUGUGAGCCACUCUAACAAAUUAACUGAACAUGAGAAGGAGGUAUUGGGAACCCUGAUUUUAUAGCUGGUUGGUCAGAAGUACAGGUGACAAUCUACAACUUGCAACUAGCAUCUUAAGUGGAGGCAGUCUUGUGGGACUGAGCCCUUAACCUGUGGGAUCUAAUGCUAUCUCCAGUAAGAUAGUGUCUAGAAACUGAUGGCCUUACAGGACACCCAGCUAGUGUCUACUGGAGAACUGACUGACUGGUUGCUGGUGGGGAGAACUUCCCACAAAUUUUGGUGACAAGAAGUGAAACAUUCAGUGUUAUAUUCAGUAUUGAGUGACUAUGUAAGAGCAGGAGAAAACAUUUUUUUUUAUCUCAGUGGGGCCAGAACGCAGACUGUUAUGGGUUGAAUUGUAUAGCCCCCAAAAUUCCUGUGCUUUAGUCCUAACCUCUAGUACCUCAUAAUGUGACUAUUAUGGACUGGACUGUUUCCUUCCUAAAUUCAUAUGUUGAAGCCCAAACCCCCAGUGUGAGGGCAUUUGGAGAGGAGGUCUUUGGGAGAUAAUUGGUUUAAAUGAGGUCAUGAGGUGGAAUCCUCAUGAUAGGAUUUGUGCCCUUAUAAGAAGAGACAUUCUCUGCCAUGUAAGGAGACGAUGAGAAGUUGGUUGCCUGCAAGCUAGGAAGAGAGCCCUCACCAGAACGCAACCAUGCUGACCCCUUGAUUUCAGACUUCUUUCCUCCAGAACUAUGGGAAAAUAAUUUCUGCUGUUUAAGCCACCCUGUCAUUUUGUUAUGGCAGCCUGUGCUGACUAAUAUAGAGACCUUAUUUGGGAACAAUGUCCUUGCAUAUAUAAUAGUUAGGUAAGAUGAGGUCAUUAGGGUAGGCCCUAAUCCAAUAUGAAUGGUGUCCUUAUAAAAAGAGAAAACUUGUGCACAGAGACAGACAUUCAUAAAGAGAAAAUGAUGUGAAGAGACGAAGGGAGAAGAUGGUCAUCUACAAGCCAUGGAGGCCUGGAACAGAUCCCUCCCUCACAGCCUCAGAAGGAACCAACCCUGCUGACACCUUGAUCUUGGACUUCCAGCCUCCAAAACUGAGAUACAAUAAAUUUCUGUUGUUUAAGUCACCCAGUUUGCAGCACUUUGUUGCAGCAUCCCUGGCAAACUAACCCAAUGCCCCUGAAAAACUCUGGUAGCCUGGUUUCCUACUGGGAAAUAUGGAACUUGUAAGACCCAUACAUGCUUGGGAAAAGAGACAUGUUAUUUUAUUAAGAAAUAAUCUUCUAUGUUGAAGUUCUCCAUUUUAAUAAAUGAACAAUAAGUUUUGAAAGUGAAAAUUUGCUAUGCCUACAGGAUCAAAAGUCAUGAAUUUACUAGCUAUUCUUCUUUGCUAUAAAUAUUUGAAAGUUUGGGUAUUUACUGUUUAUGCAAAAUACUGUCAUUUCUUUUUACUUCACUCUGUAUUAAAUUUAGGUUGAAACUAACACUUCCACUGAAUUUGGUAUUUUAGAAGAAUAUUCAAUAUGUUCCUUUUUGAAAUAAUGCCAGAUGUUCACAUUAAUUUAGAUAUUGGCUGAUAUAAUGUAUUUUAUGACAAGCAAUGCAAACAACUGAAUAUAUUAGAAAACUUAGAAAGAUCUUUUAGAGUUUAUGAUAUUAAAAAAUAUUUUCAGCAACAAGCUACUGGAGAUUCAAGUAUUUGGUUUUCAACUACAAAAGGAAGUACUUUUAAGACUAUGGUAGAAACUGAAGCCGGUGCUUUUAAUACAAUCUCCAUGGCAACAUGGGAAGGAGCACAGCCUGGUGGGCUGAAUGAAAGCCACAAACUCUCAAUUUCAGACCCUACCAUUAACUUCCCACAGAAAGCCAUGUUUGUAUCUUGGCAUUUCAUCUCUGCUAUAAACAGAGGCACUCUGGCUUUAUGCAAGAAAAGGACAUUGCCUUAGUCCUAUGUACUUGAUAUACUCAUUUUAUGAAAUUAAUAAUAUUUAUGUUCUGAAACAAUAGAUUAGUCACACUACAUUUCUAAGUUGUAGCAGGGAAAUUAAACAGUAAAUGGAAAAUGCAAGUACUGACUAAAUUCCCCAAAUUUCAUAUAAAGAUAACAUAAAAGUGAUUUGAAGGAUCUACUUUAUUUUCGUAAAUGAAUUGCCAAGAUUAAAAAAGUUUAAUUUUAAAAACAGGUAUUCAGAAUUUGAUUGGCUACUGAGCAUCCUGACCCUAUCAUUUUGUUUACAUUUUCAUAUUUUCAAUAAGGAAAUGUCUUCUAUAGGAAACUGCAUAAUAACAAUGCAUAAGGGUUUGAACUGUAGUUUAAUGAAUUAGUUAAGAUUUUCCUGUGAUGAUAUCUUGCUAAUAUAAAGAUCAUUUGCUAAAAACACAGCAAAAAUAAGAAAUAAAAAAUCUCUAAACUACAAAAAUAGAUAAUAAUAGUUAACAUUUGCUUUUUAUUACUUGCCAGACACCAUCCUGGGCUCUUCACAGGGAUGAUCACAUUUAAUUCUCACAAUGACCCUAUUAAAUAGAUAUUAUUAUUAUUCCCAUUCUAUUGAUGAAAAGACUAAGCUCAGGGAUGGUCAGUAAGUUGCCUGAGGUGGCCUUGUGGAGUUGGAAUCAGGGCCUGUGCACUUCACCACUGUAAGAUUCUCAUAAACGUAUCUAUUUUAUUUGUUAAUUUUAUUCAUGUAGUAAUACAGUCAGAACCCAAUUCAAUUAUUUUUAUUCUAAUUUAAAUGCAAUUCCACCAAAUCUGGUUAUCUGAUCACCUUAGAAGUAGCAAAUUAGAAAGAUUUGGAGGAGGGCUCCUGUAAGCAGGAAACAUUAAAAAUACAGAAGAUUGAAAUAGGAAGUGAAAUAUAGCAAAACAGGAUUAUCCAGAGGAAGAAAAAGAUAAACACGGUUUUGGGAUGGCGUGAGUAGAGCUAUGUAAAUGGGAACUACCAUUUGUUGAAUACCUCUUACAUGCCAGGUGUGUGCCUUUCUCAUCUGCCAAGCCUCACAUGGCCCUGCCACGCAGGCUGUUGUAUCCCCAUUUUGAGAAGUCCCACAGCCUGCCCACGUUCUCACAACAGAAGGGCCAGACUUGUCGGGUGCAAAGUCCAUGCUCUGAACACUGCCCCAUAUUGCCUAUCUUGCAUGGACUAAGAAACGAAGGAGGGAAAGAAAAUCUUGGAGAGGUUUCUAUUAACAUGACUACAAGCAAAAUGCUUUUUGGCAUGGAAAGAGGGGUAAUGGCUUCAGUUAUGUGGAAAAUUUACUCAUAUGAAAUACAUUUGAUGGUGAUAAAUGAGGUACUAUAGUACUUUUUUUUACUUAAAAAAUUCAAACUUAGAAAAAGUUUAAAUUUAGUUUCCUAAAUUUAGGAAGCCCAUAAACUAAGGUUGUGCAAGUGGGGAAUUUUUCAUUUGAGAGCCUAUCUUUAGCUGCUAUCCUUUUUUUAAAGUAGAACUAUUGGGGUUUUACUUAGUGAACAUUCUUCGCAAAUUCAAGGCAAUGUGCCAAGAAAUAAAGAGUGGCAUGAGAAUGCCAUUUGGAAGGGUUAAAAAUUCAAAACAGAAAUGUGUGUGUGUGCGCAUGCACACAAACACACACACAUACAGAGAACUCAAUCACACAUUUUCAGUUAGCAACACCAACCAAGCAAAAGAGCUGGGCUCAUCCCGUUAUGUAACACAUUUUUUUUUCUUGCAUCCCUUAUUGCCUAAAGGCUACUGUGAAUAGGGAAAUAGCAGGAAAACAUUCUCACAAAGAAUGAGCUCCUCUAAAUAAUAUAUACAAUAAAACUGUCCAGCACAUGACCAAAAAAUUAAUAAAGGCAAGUCCAGUUUUCUUGUGAUGUUGAAAGUGAGCAUCGUUUCAUUUAGCUGUUUCUCAGGAAGCAUGUUAUGCCCCUUUAAAACUGCUGACUUAAUGCUUUCAUGCACAGCCUCUCCCCUCCCCACCUGCCACCCCUUGCCUGGGUGUAAACCCUGGUGCCCACUUAGGCAUGAUUACCACUGGUGCAGCCCUGCCAUUGGCGUCUCUCUCAAGGGAAAGAGCUUGGGGUAGACGAUGGUAAACAUAGGCUCACUACACCGAUGACAGUGCCCCAGAGGGCAGUGCAGCAGCUCUAGGAGACUUCUGGGUAAUGAGAUUGGAGACAGAAAGUUCAAAUCUGGAACACAAAAGAAAAUCACGCACACGAGUAAAAAAAUCAGACUUCCUUAAACUACGCUUCUUAAAAUAUUUGUUACCAAAUAAGUUCAGUUACUUAAAAGUACUUCAUGUUGAAAAUUCUGUUAUCUGAUUGAUACACACUGAAUAAAAAUCUAACAUUUGAAAAUGAAAUUUUUUUUUUAUAUUUUUGAUACUAAAAGAAAACACAAAUUCACUCAUUUUAAGAGCCAGAAGCUGUCCUGAGGUAGAGGCAAGGAAUAAGUGAGAUAAAAUAUUUUUUAAGAACAAAGAUCAAAAAGGAAUAAUUCACCCAAAGAGGACUUUGAAACUUUAAUAAGAGUCAGAGAAUUUUUGGAACUGAUGACUAAAACUGAGUUUCAUUAAGUUCUCCCUAAUCUAUCAGGCAUUUAGUAUCAAUCCUCCACCAAGGCUAAAUCAUAUUUAUUGAAGAGAAUGAAAAGGAGGAAAUAAAAAAAGAAUGAAAAAUAAUGAAACCAAGCGUUUGCUUGACUUACUCUCAUAAGCUGUCAUUAAUAAAAGCAGGGAGCUUCCUUCCCAGCUUAGUCUGAGCUACACAAAACAGACAUUUAAAGCAAAACAUCCCAGUGGCCCAGGCAAUCUUGAAGACACAUUUACACUGGGUUUCUACUGAUGAUGAGCAUCCAACAGAAAGAGGCAUGGUCAUGCUGAGGUGAAAUCUAAAAAUUAUCAACUCAUCUUUGGGAAGGAGAUACAAAUCAUCUUUUUACCUUUUAUAUCUGUCCAGACUCAUCAAUAACACUUAGAAAAAUGGAAUUGACUGAUUGGUGAACAACUAUAAUUUUCUGUUUAGCUUUUAAAACCAACUUAACUUUGCACUAGGCAUUUCUGGAAGGUUAAUGUGAGAUGUUUUUGUAUGGACUCUUUUUUAAGUAAAGACGAAACAUUUCACAGUUUUAAAAACACCUGAAAUGUAUUUUUCAUAUUAAUAUUGCCUAGCGCUGUCUUAAAGCAUUUCAGACAUACACCCACAAUACCUAUCAAAUCUGUGCACGGCCAAAUCCUUUCCAAAUUUUAGCUGGCACGCUGCGACAGUACUGCCAACGGCUCCCAGUACUUCUACCUCCUUUAGGUCUACAUAUUGCUGAGAUGCGAGGAGGCGGCAAGGCAAAAACCUGCUCUAUUGACGUAUCCAACUUUGAGGACAAGAUCUUUCCAAAUUUCCUACUGCCAGCCUUUUACUUCAACCAAAUACACAUUCCCAAACACCAAGUUCCUUACUUGAAACUUGAACUUUUAAGCACCGUGCUUUGCAACUGACAACCACGUUUUUUAAGAAUGCUUCUCUGUGCCUGUAGGGGGUGCUAAAGUGAUCAGUGUUAAUAAAAUAUCAAAACUAUUUUUCUUAUUAGAAAAAUCCUGUUGCACAACAAUGUGAAUGGACUUAAUGCCACUGAACUGUAUACUUAAAGAUGGAUAAAAUGGUUACUUUCGUGUUAUGUGUAUUUUACCACAAUAAUUUUUUUUUUAAAGAUGAACGCCAAAACAGGUGCACCAAGCACAAUGUUCACUAAAUGAGAGAGAAAAAUAAGAAAACCAGAAGUCCCACGUACCUUUCAGCAAGCUGUGGUAGGUAUGAUACAGCCCUCUCAUAGCCAAUUCCUGCAGAGGGAGGACGUGAUCAUGCUCCGUCCCUAUGGCCUUCACCUCAGCUGGGAGGAAAACGGUUCGCUGCCCUGAUGAAAAGGAAAGCAGCUUCACCUCGGAAACUUGAAUGGGAGCACCACAGCUGCAGAAAGACACACAUUCACAGUAUUAUUAGCAAUAAGGAAAAGAAUAUGGGUGCCAAUAAAAUGUGUUAAUCAAAAUAUACAUUUGAAAAUUUAUGACACUGCUGAAUUGCCAGAAUUCUUUUCAAAGUGAACAGAUGCUAUCCCGGGUUCCUUCAUAAAACCUGGCCCAGCAAUCUAAACUCAUCAGUUGGAACUCAGCUAAAUCAUUGCUGAGGCCCAGUCACUUCCAGCAAGGAUGAACUUUAAAGGAACUUUCCUUCUUAGGCCGUACACAAUUUGCUUUGUAAAUUUUACUUUUCCCAAUUUUAUUACCCUCUCCAAGUACGUGUUUUUCUGAAACUCUCAAAAUUAAAAGAAAAAAAAAGAGUACUUUGUUGAGUAACAGCAUCUUGGUUUAAUAGAAUUUUUGUAUAGAAAAACUUAAACCCACAAAGCAAAUAGAUUUUAAAUGGCAGAAGAUAACUUUAUUGGAUCCUUCCAUAAACUUGUGGGGAAAAUAUUCUUGGCAUACUCAAUAAGCCAAGUCAUGCCCUAUUCCCUGCAGCCACUCAUAACCAGAAGGCAGAGAUGUCCUCGUUCCUAAUGCUGCAGUGUUACCGAAACUCACAAAUCCAAUCUCAUUCUAUUUCUUGUGUGAAACCAUUGGGUAACCUAAGAGCCUCAAUACUUUUCUUGUCUAAUGACAAACAGCUGGCCAACAAACCUUGGCUCUGAAGACAACAUGAAAUAAUAUCACUAACCUUGACCAGAUACAAGCAAUGAAGCUUAGGGGACAGGACUGGAAGCCAGAAGCCCUUGAUUCAUUUAUUUUUUAAAAGUUUCUUCAUUUGUUCUUUCUCUCCAUCAGAAAACAUUUCCAGAGCACUUACUAUAUGCCAGUCAGUUAAGAUACUUAAAUUAAGAAAAACAAGAAUGAACCCUUCCUUUGGGAGAAAAUCAUUACAAUUAUUCUAAUGUGGGGGCAAAGAAGGGUUGACUGACUCUGUCCAGGGAAUUAGGGGAGAUUUUAAAGAUAAGACAAUAUCUGACUUAAUGUUCAACUCACCUGGAAUAAAUGGAAAUGUGUUAUGAGCAUUCCAAGCAGAGGGAACAGCAUGUGCAGCAGUACAGAAGCCUGAAAGAAUAUGGCUACGUCUUGGUUUCAACAGUGCUGGAAACAGGGAUGCAGGGUAUGGAUGGACAGGGGAAGGAGGCCAGGAAUAUUAGCUGAAGUUAGAUGGUUUUAAUUCACGGGGAAGACUGUUAGGUGUGGUUUUUUUUUCUUUGUUUUGUUUUGUUUUUUACCAAAUAUCUGACCACAGUAUGGUAGACAGGAAAGGGACUGAUAAGUGGCAAAGAGGUAAAGAGAACCCAAAUACAGAAGGAAACAGAAAUGGGGAAGUCUUUAGGGUCUUGAAAAUGAGAGCCUGAGAUAAACAGAAGAGGUAUGGAAUAUCAUUAUGGGUAAGAAGCCAGUGGCUUUCUCUGUUAGUUCCUAAAGCAAAUAAUUCUGAAAUGCGAUUUUGUUCACAUAAUCUUUUAUGCCAAUCAAGAUAGAUUUAGAGAAUUUCUUUUGUAAUAUUCCAUACUAUGGAUGAACCACAGUUUAUUAAUUUAUUCAUUAUGUUUAUCCUGGUUUCAAUGUUUUCUCUCCUACUACACAUACAACAUCACAAUAAAUCUUACAUACAUUCCAAUGCACAGAUGUUUUUAUUAUAGUAAAAUUCCCAAACUGAGACCACUGGCCAUGAAAAAUGAACAUUUUAAAUGCCUGAGAUCUUUCCAAAAAGAUUGGUAAGAAAGCAUCCAUUUCCCCACACCAUCAUCAGAACUGGAUGUUAUCAGUCAUUUUAGUUUUUGCUAGGCUGAUUAAUGGAAAUGCCUCCUUGGUUACUAAUGAGUUUGAUCACCUUUUGUUAGCCUUGCUGGCCAUUUACAUUUCUUCUUCUGUAAACUGUCCACGUCCAUCCCUUAUCUCAUUUUCUAUUAAAUUAAAAUAUAUCAAUUUGUAGGAACUUCCAUAUUGGCAAUAACAAUCCUUUGUCAUAUGCACUGAAAUAUUUAUCGACAAAAAUGUUUUUGUCUUUUAACUUUGCAUAUGGUUCUCUUUGUCAGCAUUCUUUUCUGAUGUGAAAUCUAUCCACUUAUUUCCUUCAUGGUAUCUACAUUUUUCUGAAUUUCUUAAGAGGGUUACCCUGAUUUGAAGACUGUGCAUAUAUUAUCCUAAAGUUUCUUCCAGUAUGUUUAUUGUAUUUUUACAUGUAGAUUUUUUUUUUUUUAAGACAGAGCCUUGCUCUGUCACCUAGGCUGGAGUACAGUCUGUGAUCUCAACUCAUUGCAACCUCUGCCUCCCGGGUUCAAGUGAUUCACCUCCUCAGCCUCCUGAGUAGCUAGGAUUACAGGCACCCGCCACCACGUCCGGUUAGUUUGUAUUUGUAGUAGAGACGGGGUUUCACCAUGUUGGUCAGGCUGGUCUUGAACUUCUGACCUCAAGUGAUUGGCCCGCCUCGGCUUCCCAAAGUGCUGGGAUUACAGGUAUGAACCACCGCACCUGGCCUUUACGUGUAGAUGUUUUAUCUAUUUGUCUUACUUGGUUAUAUAAUAUAAAAUAGGACAUAGCUUUUUUUUUCCAAAUGGAAAAAUAAUACGGGUAGCAUUAUUAAACAACACUAUCAUUUACCUCUGAAUUGAACUGUUCUUUUUAUCCUAUUAAGUUCCCAAAUACACUGGCAUUGCUUUCUGGAGUCUUUAGUCUGUUUCAGUGAUGUAUCAGUUUAAUUCUGUGUCAGUUCUAUAUUGUUUUGAUUACAAUACUUUAUAGAAGAUUCUAUCAUUUGACAAGUCUGCCCUAACUAUUAUUGUUCAAUUUUUUUCUUGCAAUUCUCAGUUAUCAUUCAAUUUGAACUUUACAAUUAUUUUAUCUCUAUUUCCCUAAAGCCUUCCAGAGAUUUGUAUUAGAAUUAACAUCGAUUUCUAUGUUAAGACAGGUAAUUUGAUCAUAAAUUUCCUUAUUUGCAAACAUGGUAUCUCUGUACUAUCCACCUAGUGCUUUAUAUCCUAUCCUUUAAUAAAAAUUUCACAAUUUUCUUCACAUAGAUUCUGUUCCUUUCUUGUGAUAUUUAUUACUGUAUAUUUAAAUGUGUGGUACAAAGAUAAAUGACAUUUUCCCCCUAACUUUGAUUUCUAAUUUACGAAGACAUAAAGAAAAGCUGCUAAUCUUUGUAUGCUAUCUUAUAUUUAGCCACCUUACUAAAUUCUUUUAGGUGUCUGAAAGAUUUUUUUUGGUAGCAUAUCUUGAGUUUUCUAGGUAUUCAAGCAUAUCACCUAUAAAGGUCUUUCUGGUUCUUUUUUUCCCAGUAUUUAUAAUGUCUAUUUCCUUUUUUUCCAUCUUAUUGCAUUAGACAGAUGGCAGUGGUGAC